UACGUAGGGGGCUAGCGUUGUCCGGAAUCAUUGGGCGUAAAGGGUGCGUAGGCGGCGCGGUAAGUCGGGUGUGAAAUCUUGGAGCUUAACUCCGAAACUGCAUUCGAUACUGCCGUGCUUGAGGACUGGAGAGGAGACUGGAAUUUACGGUGUAGCGGUGAAAUGCGUAGAUAUCGUAAGGAAGACCAGUGGCGAAGGCGGGUCUCUGGACAGUUCCUGACGCUGAGGCACGAAGGUCAGGGGAGCAAACGGG
rnacentral:rRNA from 1 species